rnacentral:rRNA from 1 species
AGCCACAGCCAUAUCACCCCAUGAUCGGUUACUCACUGAAGCUAAACAGGGCUGAGCCUGGUCAGUGCCUGGAUGGGAGACCACAUGGGAAAGCUAGGUUGCUGUUGGAA